CGCUUUCACAGGGACCAGGAACACAAAGAUGAGAGUGAAUGUGUCAUGCAUACAGAAGAAUUGAUGGCUAUGUUAUAGAGCAUAAAAAGUAGAAGAAAAGUGGGAGACAAGGCACCUGAGAAUUGACAGAAAAUUUGAGAGGGAUUGAAGGAGAGUGCUGGCCCCUCAAAUGCCAAGCAACCAUAGAAUCUGAUGUGAGAACUGUUUUAUAGAAUCCUAUAAUCGCUGGAAUCUUAAUGAGCUUUGAUUAUUUGUAAUCUGAUUUCAGUGUAUUGAGACUGUUUCAUUCACAUAUAAUACAUAGAGUAUCCUUCCAAAAAAAUUCUUGUGUUUGCUGUGUGAUUGUGUUGGGUUGAGAAUUAUAUUGUGAGCGGGGAAAUUAUUGUGGAAGUGUGGUGAAAUUGAGGUAGCGCAGAAACAGGGAAACUGUGAGGUGGAAGAAGUGUGCUCGGGGCCAACUCAAUAUCCAGGUACCUAUCACAAUUAUUGGUAGAGUAGAACAUAUGAAAUUGGCCGUAGUUCAGUUUCAUUGAUGAGUGGUUUAUCCAGACAUCAAAUACCACCCAAGCUACCAUCAAUUUGGCGUCCUACUAUAGUGAGCAGGCAAAUUCCCUUUUCAGGAAAUGAGUGGGUAUGCCAACUAUGGUGGCGAUGGGUUUGUCUAUGGACUUGGAAAUUACUGAUAGCGAGAUAUCUUGAAUAAAAGCCAAGGUUAAAUUUAGUGGCAGAUUUACAAGAAGAAGAAAAAGUUUUCCUUUAGCAAAACAGAAAAAAGGGAUACCAACAGUAAACAUCAAGAGAGGACUUCCUGUAUAAAAGUAGGACAUUCCAAAAAUAAGA